UACGGGGGGGGCAAGCGUUGUUCGGAAUUACUGGGCGUAAAGGGUCUGUAGGUGGCUCGCUAAGUCAGACGUGAAAUCCCUCAGCUUAACUGGGGAACUGCGUCUGAGACUGGCAAGCUUGAGUGCAGGAGAGGAACGCGGAAUUCCAGGUGUAGCGGUGAAAUGCGUUGAUAUCUACAGGAACUCCGGUGGCGAAAGCGGCGUGCUGGAUCCCUUCUGACGCUGAGGCUCGAAAGCUAGGGGAGCAAACGGG
rnacentral:rRNA from 1 species